rnacentral:rRNA from 1 species
AUUGAACGCUGGCGGUAUGCUUAACACAUGCAAGUCGAACGGUAACAGGCCUUCGGGCGCUGACGAGUGGCGGACGGGUGAGUAACGCGUAGGAAUCUGCCUUAUAGUGGGGGACAACGUGGGGAAACCCACGCUAGUACCGCAUACGCCCUACGGGGGAAAGCGGGGGAUCGUAAGACCUCGCGCUAUGAGAUGAGCCUGCGUUAGAUUAGCUAGUUGGUAGGGUAAAGGCCUACCAAGGCGACGAUCUAUAGCUGGUCUGAGAGGACGAUCAGCCACACUGGGACUGAGACACGGCCCAGACUCCUACGGGAGGCAGCAGUGGGGAAUAUUGGACAAUGGGCGCAAGCCUGAUCCAGCAAUACCGCGUGUGUGAAGAAGGCCUUAGGGUUGUAAAGCACUUUCAAUGGGGAGGAAAACCUGCCGGUCAAUACCCGGUAGCUUGACAUUACCUAUAGAAGAAGCACCGGCUAACUCCGUGCCAGCAGCCGCCGUAACAC